rnacentral:sRNA from 1 species
AUAUGUAAAAUAAAAUAAUAUCUAAAAUUAAAUAAUAAAUAUAUCAUUAACCUAUAAAUUAAAAGUUGAAGAGAUUACAUUAAUUAUUUAAUAGACACAUGGCAAAUGCUAAAGUGAUGAUGUGUCAAUCAUAUGGAGAGAGUUUACCAACUUUCAUAUAUAUAAUUAGCAAUUAACUGUUUUCUUUUAUAGUACAAACCUUAAAUCAAAAAGAUGUUCAAAAUCAGUACAAACCUAAAAUCAAAAUAUUAUGGUUAUACCAUCAUACUUGAAAAAAUUAUUGGCAUGUUAUAUCCAACUAUUCCUUAACUAAUUG